UAAAGCUCUGUUGUUAGGGAAGAACAAGUAUCGGAGUAACUGCCGGUACCUUGACGGUACCUAAUCAGAAAGCCACGGCUAACUACGUGCCAGCAGCCGCGGUAAUACGUAGGUGGCAAGCGUUGUCCGGAAUUAUUGGGCGUAAAGCGCGCGCAGGUGGUUCUUUAAGUCUGAUGUGAAAGCCCACGGCUCAACCGUGGAGGGUCAUUGGAAACUGGGGAACUUGAGUGCAGAAGAGGAAAGUGGAAUUCCACGUGUAGCGGUGAAAUGCGUAGAGAUGUGGAGGAACACCAGUGGCGAAGGCGACUUUCUGGUCUGUAACUGACACUGAGGCGCGAAAGCGUGGGGAGCGAACAGGAUUAGAUACCCUGGUAGUCCACGCCGUAAACGAUGAGUGCUAAGUGUUAGAGGGUUUCCGCCCUUUAGUGCUGCAGCAAACGCAUUAAGCACUCCGCCUGGGGAGUACGGCCGCAAGGCUGAAACUCAAAGGAAUUGACGGGGGCCCGCACAAGCGGUGGAGCAUGUGGUUUAAUUCGAAGCAACGCGAAGAACCUUACCAGGUCUUGACAUCCUCUGACAACUCUGGAGACAGAGCGUUCCCCUUCGGGGGACAGAGUGAC
rnacentral:rRNA from 1 species